CUAAGUAUAAACUUUUAUACUGUGAAACUGCGAAUGGCUCAUUAAAUCAGUUAUCGUCUAUUUGAUUGUGCCCUUACUACAUGGAUAACCGUAGUAAUUCUAGAGCUAAUACAUGCGAAAAGUCCCGACUUCUGGAAGGGAUGUAUUUAUUAGAUUAAAAACCAAUGCGUUUAACGACGCUUUUCGGUGAUUCAUAAUAACUGUUCGAAUCGCAUGGCCCUCGUGCCGGCGAUGUUUCAUUCGAGUUUCUGCCCUAUCAACUUUCGAUGGUAAGGUAUUGGCUUACCAUGGUGACANCGGGUAACGGAGAAUUAGGGUUCGAUUCCGGAGAGGGAGCCCGAGAAACGGCUACCACAUCCAAGGAAGGCAGCAGGCGCGCAAAUUACCCAAUCCCGAUUCGGGGAGGUAGUGACAAUAAAUAACGUUGCAGGCGCCAACGGCUUCUGCAGUCGGAAUGAGUACAAUAUAACACCCUUAACGAGGAACAAUUGGAGGGCAAGUCUGGUGCCAGCAGCCGCGGUAAUUCCAGCUCCAAUAGCGUAUAUUAAAGUUGUUGCAGUUAAAAAGCUCGUAGUUGGAUUUCGGAACCGGCCGAUUGGUCCGUCCUCUGGAUCGUGUACUGAUCGGUCUGUUCUUCUUCGCGAAGACCGCGUGUGCCCUUAACUGGGUGGGCGUGGGAUUCGCGACGUUU
rnacentral:rRNA from 1 species